rnacentral:rRNA from 1 species
UACGUAGGGGAGCAAGCGUUGUCCGGAAUCAUUGGGCGUAAAGCGCGCGUAGGUGGCCUCAUAAGUCCGCUGUGAAAGUCAAAGGCUCAACCUUUGAAAGCCGGUGGAUACUGUGAGGCUAGAGUACGGAAGAGGCGAGUGGAAUUCCUGGUGUAGCGGUGGAAUGCGCAGAUAUCAGGAGGAACACCAAUAGCGAAGGCAGCUCGCUGGGACGUUACUGACACUGAGGCGCGAAAGCGUGGGGAGCGAACAGG